UACGUAGGGUGCAAGCGUUGUCCGGAAUUAUUGGGCGUAAAGAGCUCGUAGGCGGCUUGUUGCGUCGGCUGUGAAAUCCCGGGGCUUAACUCCGGGCGUGCAGCCGAUACGGGCAGGCUAGAGUCCGGUAGGGGAGACUGGAAUUCCUGGUGUAGCGGUGAAAUGCGCAGAUAUCAGGAGGAACACCGGUGGCGAAGGCGGGUCUCUGGGCCGGUACUGACGCUGAGGCACGAAGGUCAGGGGAGCAAACGGG
rnacentral:rRNA from 1 species